ACGUAGGUGGCAAGCGUUGUCCGGAUUUAUUGGGCGUAAAGCGAGCGCAGGCGGUUUUUAAGUCUGAUGUGAAAGCCCUCGGCUUAACCGAGGAAGUGCAUCGGAAACUGGAGAACUUGAAUGCAGAAGAGGAGAGUGGAACUCCAUGUGUAGCGGUGAAAUGCGUAGAUAUAUGAAAGAACACCAGUGGCGAAAACGACUCUCUGGUCUAUAAUUGACGCUAAGGCUCGAAAGCGUGGGUAGCAAACAG
rnacentral:rRNA from 1 species